UUUGCGCUUGAACGCUGGUGUGAAUUAACAGCCUGUUAGUUAGCUGCCACCAUACAAACACUGGUUUCCUGGCACUCAUAUUACUUACUUUCAGUCUCUACUGUAAUUGACUUCAAAGGAGAUGACAUACAUGUAUGCAUUAGUCUGAGGACUUCGGCCUCUGAUGCGAUGACCAGUGCAUUAGCCCAAGUACAUCGGCCUCUGAUGUAAUGUCCAGCGGAACAUCACCUGACCUUUACGAAAUUUGGCCAGAGAGAGGAGAAUGGGUUGUCUUAACCGUGGUCAAGGGGGUCAAACCUACGCAUACGGGCGGAGUGUCCGGGAAAUGAAGCCUCGGGAGAAAGUGCAGGACUUAGCAUUCUCCAAUCAGCACUAACUUUACAUCAAGUACAACUUUGGCUCGGAUCUUAUAAAACCCAGCGCCCAACUCUUUUCCAUCGUUCCUUGGUUGCUCUCCAUUCAAGAAAAUUACUAACUGUCUGCAAUGAAGAUACUGAGGGAAACCAACUUACGUUAAGAACUGUUAAUACUUUGCCGGACACUUCCAAUUCAAGAACUUUGCGUAAAACUUUCAUCCUAAGGCUGUUCGUGGAACGGAACUGUGCUCGGACUUUGAAGGACUGUGAACGAACUGACUUCAAUUGGCUCUAGUUUAUUAUUUUUUUAAUUUUAUUUUUCUUUCUUUUUAUUCUUAAUUGACGUAAAGAAUUAAAAAUCAUUAUUGUAAUUUAAUUGAGUUAAUCUUAAAACACAACGCGGAGAUAAUUUCAUUUCAUUUUUGUUGAAGCUAUACGAUCUAUUCUAUUACUUUGUAUUUGUAAUAAACUUCAAUUAUACCUGC
rnacentral:sRNA from 1 species